rnacentral:rRNA from 1 species
GACAGAGGUGCCAAGCGUUAGGCGGAAUCACUGGGCUUAAAGCGUGUGUAGGUGGAUCGUUAAGUGCUUUGUGAAAUCCCACGGCUCAACCGUGGAAUGGCUUGGCAUACUGGCGAUCUUGAGCCAUCCAGGGGCUACUGGAACAAACGGUGGAGCGGUGAAAUGCGUAGAUAUCGUUUGGAACGCCAAAGGUGAAAACAGGUAGCUGGGGAUGUGCUGACACUGAGACACGAAAGCCAGGGGAGCAAACGGG